rnacentral:rRNA from 1 species
UACGUAGGGCGCAAGCGUUAUCCGGAAUUAUUGGGCGUAAAGAGCUCGUAGGCGGUCUGUUGCGUCGGCUGUGAAAACCCGGGGCUUAACCCUGGGCUGGCAGUGGAUACGGGUAGACUAGAGGCAGGUAGGGGCGGAGGGAAUUUCCGGUGGAGCGGUGAAAUGCAUAGAUAUCGGGAAGAACACCAACGGCGAAAGCACUCCGCUGGGCUGAUACUGACACUGACAGACGAAAGCUAGGGUAGCGAAAGGG